AUGGCUAGCAUUAUCCUAACGACACUCGGGGGUCAACCGAAGCUCGUAGCCGUCUUCGUCGGACGUGACGGGUGGCUGGUAUCCUCCAUCCGAGGGGUGCAUGCCGCAGUGCGGGCCGGCCUUCCGGGUCGCGAAUCCCCGCUGUCUGUGGCGGACCGUCCCUUGGGAAACUCAGUGGGGGCAAUUGGAUGGGUCGCGGAUGGCCUCCGGCGGCUUCGGCCCUGGAGGUCUCCCGGCUCGGGCGCUGGGCUUCGGCUCGGCCCCUGACCUUCUAGCUAACCCUGACCCCCUGCCUCCGGGCAGGGUCCAGGGAAGCUCGGGCUUCGGCUCGCGCCUCCCGGUGAAGAUAGUUACCUGGUUGAUUCUGCCA
rnacentral:misc_RNA from 1 species